UUCCGGUUGAUCCUGCCGGAAGUUACUGCUAUCGAGGUUCGACUAAGCCAUGCGAGUCGAAUGUAGCAAUACAUGGCGAACUGCUCAGUAACACGUGGACAACCUGCCCUUAGGACGGGGAUAAACCCGGGAAACUGGGUAUAAUACCCGAUAGGUCUCGAUUGCUGGAAUGCAUCGAGAUUUAAAGCUCCGGCGCCUAAGGAUGGGUCUGCGGCCUAUCAGGUAGUAGUGGGUGUAGCGUACCUACUAGCCUACGACGGGUACGGGUUGUGAGAGCAAGAGCCCGGAGAUGGAUUCUGAGACACGAAUCCAGGCCCUACGGGGUGCAGCAGGCGCGAAAACUUUACAAUGCUGGCAACAGCGAUAAGGGAACCUCGAGUGCCAGGUUACAAAUCUGGCUGUCGAGAUGCCUAAAAAGCAUUUCAUAGCAAGGGCCGGGCAAGACCGGUGCCAGCCGCCGCGGUAACACCGGCGGCUCGAGUGGUAACCGUUAUUAUUGGGUCUAAAGGGUCUGUAGCCGGCCGGAUAAGUCUCUUGAGAAAUCUGGCAGCUUAACUGUCAGGCUUUCAGGAGAUACUGUCUGGCUCGAGGCCGGGAGAGGUGAGAGGUACUUCAGGGGUAGGGGUGAAAUCUUGUAAUCCUUGAAGGACCACCAGUGGCGAAGGCGUCUCACCAGAACGGACCUGACGGCAAGGGACGAAAGCUAGGGGCACGAACCGGAUUAGAUACCCGGGUAGUCCUAGCCGUAAACGAUACUCGCUAGGUGUCGGCCACGGUGCGACCGUUGUCGGUGCCGUAGGGAAGCCGUGAAGCGAGCCACCUGGGAAGUA
rnacentral:rRNA from 1 species